rnacentral:rRNA from 1 species
GAUGAACGCUGGCGGCGUGCCUAAUACAUGCAAGUCGAGCGAACAGACGAGGAGCUUGCUCCUUUGACGUUAGCGGCGGACGGGUGAGUAACACGUAGGUAACCUACCUAUAAGACUGGGAUAACUUCGGGAAACCGGAGCUAAUACCGGAUAAUAUUUCGAACCGCAUGGUUCGAUAGUGAAAGAUGGCUUUGCUAUCACUUAUAGAUGGACCUGCGCCGUAUUAGCUAGUUGGUAAGGUAACGGCUUACCAAGGCAACGAUACUUAGCCGACCUGAGAGGGUGAUCGGCCACACUGGAACUGAGACACGGUCCAGACUCCUACGGGAGGCAGCAGUAGGGAAUCUUCCGCAAUGGGCGAAAGCCUGACGGAGCAACGCCGCGUGAGUGAUGAAGGUCUUCGGAUCGUAAAACUCUGUUAUUAGGGAAGAACAAACGUGUAAGUAACUGUGCACGUCUUGACGGUACCUAAUCAGAAAGCCACGGCUAACUACGUG